GGCAUUUGCUGCACAAGAGGGAUGAAGUGAAGGAGCAAAAGCCCAAAGGGCCUCUGGUGAGCAUUGAUGCCAGGCCAGCAGUGCAGGGGAUGAAGCUGGAACCAGGGCACUUGGGGCCAAAGCCAAUGGACAUCUUUCCUGGAGGCACAAGGAAGGAGAAACAAUAGGACUUUUAUCUUAACUGCAAAGCUUCAGCAGCAGAACAAGAUGCUCACAACUUGCUGCGCCUUGUGCAGUGGAACAGCUGCAGGGCAGCCCAUGUUUGACACCGAUCUCCUGUUUAGACCAGGCAAUGUUACGCUGAAGGCAAUGAAGGCAAAUGUUACGCUUCCAGAAUUCAACAGACCAAGGAUGCUCCAUAUCAAUAGAUCUGAACACCAUUAACUCAAAGGGAUCUUUCUACAUGGGAUCGCUAAUGAGCUGAAAUAA